UACGGAGGGGGCUAGCGUUGUUCGGAAUCACUGGGCGUAAAGGGCGCGUAGGCGGGAUGGCAAGUCGGUCGUGAAAUCCUUCGGCUCAACCGAAGAACGUCGGCCGAUACUGCUGUUCUUGAGGGAUGCAGAGGAGAUUGGAAUUCCCGGUGUAGCGGCGAAAUGUGUAGAGAUCGGGAGGAACACCGGUGGCGAAGGCGGGUCUCUGGGCAUUUCCUGACGCUGAGGCGCGAAAGCGUGGGGAGCAAACGGG
rnacentral:rRNA from 1 species